AAUGCGAGACGGAGCGUUUUAGCGGAGACACUCACUGGGGCAAUCUGAGCUUGAGCAGGAGGUGGAGCGACGGCGGCGGCUGGGGCAGGAGUCAGCAGCUAGGAAAGCCCUCAUCGCGAGUUCCUACCACCCGGCACGGCCUGAGGUCUACGACUCACUGCAGGAUGCAGCUCUGGCCCCCGAGUUUCUGGCCGUGGCUGAGUACAGCGUGUCCCCGGGCGCAGACCUCAAGGGCCUUCUCCAGCGGCUGGAGACAGUAUCGGAGGAGAAGCGCAUCUACCGGGUGCCUGUGUUCACAGCACCCUUCUGCCAGGCCUUGCUGGAAGAGCUGGAGCACUUCGAGCAGUCGGACAUGCCUAAGGGGAGGCCCAACACCAUGAACAACUAUGGGGUGCUGCUGCACGAGCUUGGGCUGGACGAGCCGCUGAUGACACCACUGCGGGAGCGCUUCCUGCAGCCACUGAUGGCCCUGCUGUACCCUGACUGUGGCGGGGGCCGGCUCGACAGCCACCGGGCCUUUGUGGUCAAAUACGCACCGGGCCAGGACCUCGAGCUGGGCUGCCACUAUGAUAAUGCCGAGCUCACACUCAAUGUGGCCUUGGGCAAGGUCUUCACGGGGGGCGCCCU
rnacentral:sRNA from 1 species